rnacentral:lncRNA from 1 species
ACUGACAAGUCGGUCGUGUAAAAGUUGGUCACUAAAUAAAGUACGCACGCAGGUGAUGGAACAUUGUAAAAGUGUCAGUUAUUCAUAGCACCAGCUGCAUUCGAUCUACAACACGAGACCAACAUCCAUCAAUCCAUCCAGUUACAGAGGCGAUUCCCGCCAUGACUAUCAUCACAUUAAACUCUCGCUCCACCUAGCUAAGCUAAGCUUAAGCUCUAUAAUCUCCCGACUACUGCACAGCUAUACUUCUCCAACCGGCACUGAUAGGCCAGGUGUCAGUUCGAAGACGCUUGCAAAGCCGCGUCGUCCUUGGCGAUGGCCACGUAGUUCACCGGCGCCGAUGGCCUGACGCUCUCCCUGCGGCCGUCCCGGCUCGCCGACCGCACGCCGUUCUGCUGCUGCACCGAGAGCCUCCGGUUCGGCGUGCCGUUGACAGCGCCGCCGUUGGCCCGAGGGCCAGGCAACUUCUUCGCAGACUGGGG